UACGGGGGGGGCAAGCGUUGUUCGGAAUUACUGGGCGUAAAGGGCUCGUAGGCGGCCAACUAAGUCAGACGUGAAAUCCCUCGGCUUAACCGGGGAACUGCGUCUGAUACUGGAUGGCUUGAGUUUGGGAGAGGGAUGCGGAAUUCCAGGUGUAGCGGUAGAAAUGCGCAGAUAUCAGGAGGAACACCGAUGGCGAAGGCAGCUCGCUGGGACGGUACUGACGCUGAGGCGCGAAAGCGUGGGGAGCAAACAGG
rnacentral:rRNA from 1 species